CGUGACGGGUGAGUAACACGUGGAUAACCUACCUAUAAGACUGGGAUAACUUCGGGAAACCGGAGCUAAUACCGGAUAAUAUAUUGAACCGCAUGGUUCAAUAGUGAAAGACGGUUUUGCUGUCACUUAUAGAUGGAUCCGCGCCGCAUUAGCUAGUUGGUAAGGUAACGGCUUACCAAGGCAACGAUGCGUAGCCGACCUGAGAGGGUGAUCGGCCACACUGGAACUGAGACACGGUCCAGACUCCUACGGGAGGCAGCAGGG
rnacentral:rRNA from 1 species